UGCCAGUGCAAUCAGGAAUGCUUUGAUAACAUGCGAGAGAGUAGCAUUGCUUCAUGGAAUUCUAUGAUUUUCAGAUACUCAAACCAUGGUCAUGCUGGAUUGUCGAACCAGGGAAGAGUUUAUUCAGUUUGAUGCAAGAAGACCUUAGGCUGGUGCCAGAUUGGAGCAUUAGCUUGCAUGGUGGAUUUUCUUGGGAGCUGGGAAGCUUGCGGAGGCUUAUGAUGUCAUCAAGGCAUGCCCGUGGAGCCAGAUUCUUUUGUGUGGGAAGCAUUAUUAGAGGCUUGCCCCCAAGUCCUGGCAAUAUAGAGCUUGCUAAGACGGUGGUUUUGCAUCCCUCUAAGCUCGAGCCAGAGAGUGCAGGGGGCUCUGUGCCAUUAUGGAACAUAAUAGUUGCUGGGAGAGAGGCAGAUGCUAUCAAGAUAAAGAAAUUGAAGGAGGAAUGGAAAAAGUGUCAUGCUUGCAGUUGGACUGCAAACUGCUUGAGUGAAACUGUAGUAGACAAAGAAACUCUGGUUUCAUGUACUCCAUAAGCACAUUAGCACAGAUUUGCAUGCAUUUGUAGAAAGCUGCAUGUUCUAUUUAAUUCUUGGUCA